UUCCGUAGGUGAACCUGCGGAGGGAUCAUUACCGAGUUUACAACUCCCAAACCCAAUGUGAACGUUACCAAACUGUUGCCUCGGCGGGAUCUCUGCCCCGGGUGCGUCGCAGCCCCGGACCAAGGCGCCCGCCGGAGGACCAACCUAAAACUCUUAUUGUAUACCCCCUCGCGGGUUUUUUUUAUAAUCUGAGCCUUCUCGGCGCCUCUCGUAGGCGUUUCGAAAAUGAAUCAAAACUUUCAACAACGGAUCUCUUGGUUCUGGCAUCGAUGAAGAACGCAGCGAAAUGCGAUAAGUAAUGUGAAUUGCAGAAUUCAGUGAAUCAUCGAAUCUUUGAACGCACAUUGCGCCCGCCAGUAUUCUGGCGGGCAUGCCUGUCCGAGCGUCAUUUCAACCCUCGAACCCCUCCGGGGGGUCGGCGUUGGGGAUCGGCCCUCCCUUAGCGGGUGGCCGUCUCCGAAAUACAGUGGCGGUCUCGCCGCAGCCUCUCCUGCGCAGUAGUUUGCACACUCGCAUCGGGAGCGCGGCGCGUCCACAGCCGUUAAACACCCAACUUCUGAAAUGUUGACCUCGGAUCAGGUAGGAAUACCCGCUGAACUUAAGCAUAUCAAUAAGCGGAGGAA
rnacentral:rRNA from 1 species